AGUGACUCAGCUGACUUGGGUGAACAUCCUCUGGAGCUGUGCUAGCUGGAAACCAGCCUGGACAUGCCCUCCCGCUCCUACCACCAGGGAACUUCUUUUGGUGUGACAUUGUAAUGGGAGGUGGAGACACCUCGAGGAGAAGGUGGAAACAGACAACAGCAAUUACAGUCAGUAACAUCUAUGACUUGAGAAAGUCCUGCCUCUAUUACAGGUUUGGCUGCCUGUGUUCAAGGUCUGCCCUGAUAUGGUGGAGUGUAACCUGGCAUCAGAGUGCUGUGAAGAGAGCCAAAGAGCUGAAAGAAGCCUGCUGAGGCCUCCCCGCUUCCCAUGGGAGCAACGGCACAGAGCUGCCCUUGUCCUCAGCCCUCGUCUGGGGUAGGCUGUAGGGGUGUUUGUGUCUGGCUGUGCACUUGUUGAUCCCGACCCCGACUUGCUGACUUGACUUUCUGCUUCGGCCUCAGACCUGGCUCAUCCCUAUGGGCUUGUCCGACAGUCACUGGGCUUCUGGCAAAUGUGGUUACUGUCACCGGGCCUGCUCUGCUCUUCUUGCUUGGUCACUGUGGCACUGUGCCCCUUUACACUGAGGUCCUGUCCC